UACAUACUCCCUCCGUCCCAUAAUCUUGUCUUAGAUUUGUCUUGAUACAGAUGUAUCUAAUACUAAAAAGUGACUUGAUACAUUUGUAUUUAGACAAAUCUAAGAUAAGAAUUUUGGGACGGAGGGAGUAUAUA
rfam:Triticum urartu cultivar G1812 contig794716, whole genome shotgun sequence.